GAUCGUACACGGUAGCCGUAGAGCUGCACGUGGGCCCGGGGAGUGGGAAGCGGCUUACGGGUGAGUAACGCGGGGGAAUCUACCAUUUGCUACGGAACAACAGUUGGAAACGACUGCUAAUACCGUAUGUGCCCUAACGGGGAAAGAUUUAUCGGCAAAUGAUGAGCCCGCGUUGGAUUAGCUAGUUGGUGGGGUAAAGGCCUACCAAGGCGACGAUCCAUAGCUGGUCUGAGAGGAUGAUCAGCCACACUGGGACUGAGACACGGCCCAGACUCCUACGGGAGGCAGCAGUGGGGAAUAUUGGACAAUGGGCGCAAGCCUGAUCCAGCCAUGCCGCGUGAGUGAUGAAGGCCCUAGGGUUGUAAAGCUCUUUCACCGGUGAAGAUAAUGACGGUAACCGGAGAAGAAGCCCCGGCUAACUUCGUGCCAGCAGCCGCGGUAAUACGAAGGGGGCUAGCGUUGUUCGGAUUUACUGGGCGUAAAGCGCACGUAGGCGGACUUUUAAGUCAGGGGUGAAAUCCCGGGGCUCAACCCCGGAACUGCCUUUGAUACUGGAAGUCUUGAGUAUGGAAGAGGUGAGUGGAAUUCCGAGUGUAGAGGUGAAAUUCGUAGAUAUUCGGAGGAACACCAGU
rnacentral:rRNA from 1 species